rnacentral:rRNA from 1 species
UUAAGCGACUAAGCGUACACGGUGGAUGCCCUGGCAGUCAGAGGCGAUGAAGGACGUGCUAAUCUGCGAAAAGCGUCGGUAAGGUGAUAUGAACCGUUAUAGCCGGCGAUGUCCGAAUGGGGAAACCCAGUGCAAUUCGUUGCACUAUCGUUAACUGAAUACAUAGGUUAACGAGGCGAACCGGGGGAACUGAAACAUCUAAGUACCCCGAGGAAAAGAAAUCAACCGAGAUUCCCCCAGUAGCGGCGAGCGAACGGGGAGCAGCCCAGAGUCUGAAUCAGCUUGUGUGUUAGUGGAACGGUCUGGAAAGUCCGACGGUACAGGGUGAUAGUCCCGUACACCAAAAUGCACAGGCUGUGAACUCGAAGAGUAGGGCGGGACACGUGGUAUCCUGUCUGAAUAUGGGGGGACCAUCCUCCAAGGCUAAAUACUCCUGACUGACCGAUAGUGAACCAGUACCGUGAGGGAAAGGCGAAAAGAACCCCGGCGAGGGGAGUGAAAAAGAACCUGAAACCGUGUACGUACAAGCAGUGGGAGCACCUUCGGGUGUGACUGCGUACCUUUUGUAUAAUGGGUCAGCGACUUAUAUUCUGUAGCAAGGUUAACCGUAUAGGGGAGCCGCAGGGAAACCGAGUCUUAACUGGGCGUUAAGUUGCAGGGUAUAGACCCGAAACCCGGUGAUCUAGCCAUGGGCAGGUUGAAGGUUGGGUAACACUAACUGGAGGACCGAACCGACUAAUGUUGAAAAAUUAGCGGAUGACUUGUGGCUGGGGGUGAAAGGCCAAUCAAACCGGGAGAUAGCUGGUUCUCCCCGAAAGCUAUUUAGGUAGCGCCUCGUGAACUCAUCUUCGGGGGUAGAGCACUGUUUCGGCUAGGGGGUCAUCCCGACUUACCAACCCGAUGCAAACUACGAAUACCGAAGAAUGUUAUCACGGGAGACACACGGCGGGUGCUAACGUCCGUCGUGAAGAGGGAAACAACCCAGACCGCCAGCUAAGGUCCCAAAGUCAUGGUUAAGUGGGAAACGAUGUGGGAAGGCACAGACAGCCAGGAUGUUGGCUUAGAAGCAGCCAUCAUUUAAAGAAAGCGUAAUAGCUCACUGGUCGAGUCGGCCUGCGCGGAAGAUGUAACGGGGCUAAACCAUGCACCGAAGCUGCGGCAGCGACACUAUGUGUUGUUGGGUAGGGGAGCGUUCUGUAAGCCUGCGAAGGUGUGCUGUGAGGCAUGCUGGAGGUAUCAGAAGUGCGAAUGCUGACAUAAGUAACGAUAAAGCGGGUGAAAAGCCCGCUCGCCGGAAGACCAAGGGUUCCUGUCCAACGUUAAUCGGGGCAGGGUGAGUCGACCCCUAAGGCGAGGCCGAAAGGCGUAGUCGAUGGGAAACAGGUUAAUAUUCCUGUACUUGGUGUUACUGCGAAGGGGGGACGGAGAAGGCUAUGUUAGCCGGGCGACGGUUGUCCCGGUUUAAGCAUGUAGGCUGGUUGUCCAGGCAAAUCCGGAUAAUCAAGGCUGAGGUGUGAUGACGAGGCACUACGGUGCUGAAGUAACAAAUGCCCUGCUUCCAGGAAAAGCCUCUAAGCAUCAGGUAACAUUAAAUCGUACCCCAAACCGACACAGGUGGUCAGGUAGAGAAUACCAAGGCGCUUGAGAGAACUCGGGUGAAGGAACUAGGCAAAAUGGUGCCGUAACUUCGGGAGAAGGCACGCUGGUGUGUAGGUGAAGUCCCUGCGGAUGGAGCUGAGACCAGUCGAAGAUACCAGCUGGCUGCAACUGUUUAUUAAAAACACAGCACUGUGCAAACACGAAAGUGGACGUAUACGGUGUGACGCCUGCCCGGUGCCGGAAGGUUAAUUGAUGGGGUUAUCCGUAAGGAGAAGCUCUUGAUCGAAGCCCCGGUAAACGGCGGCCGUAACUAUAACGGUCCUAAGGUAGCGAAAUUCCUUGUCGGGUAAGUUCCGACCUGCACGAAUGGCGUAAUGAUGGCCAGGCUGUCUCCACCCGAGACUCAGUGAAAUUGAACUCGCUGUGAAGAUGCAGUGUACCCGCGGCAAGACGGAAAGACCCCGUGAACCUUUACUAUAGCUUGACACUGAACAUUGAGCCUUGAUGUGUAGGAUAGGUGGGAGGCUUUGAAGCGUGGACGCCAGUCUGCGUGGAGCCAACCUUGAAAUACCACCCUUUAAUGUUUGAUGUUCUAACGUUGGCCCCUUACCGGGGUUGCGGACAGUGUCUGGUGGGUAGUUUGACUGGGGCGGUCUCCUCCUAAAGCGUAACGGAGGAGCACGAAGGUUAGCUAAUCCUGGUCGGACAUCAGGAGGUUAGUGCAAUGGCAUAAGCUAGCUUGACUGCGAGCGUGACGGCGCGAGCAGGUGCGAAAGCAGGUCAUAGUGAUCCGGUGGUUCUGAAUGGAAGGGCCAUCGCUCAACGGAUAAAAGGUACUCCGGGGAUAACAGGCUGAUACCGCCCAAGAGUUCAUAUCGACGGCGGUGUUUGGCACCUCGAUGUCGGCUCAUCACAUCCUGGGGCUGAAGUAGGUCCCAAGGGUAUGGCUGUUCGCCAUUUAAAGUGGUACGCGAGCUGGGUUUAGAACGUCGUGAGACAGUUCGGUCCCUAUCUGCCGUGGGCGCUGGAGAAUUGAGGGGGGCUGCUCCUAGUACGAGAGGACCGGAGUGGACGCAUCACUGGUGUUCGGGUUGUCAUGCCAAUGGCACUGCCCGGUAGCUAAAUGCGGAAGAGAUAAGUGCUGAAAGCAUCUAAGCACGAAACUUGCCCCGAGAUGAGUUCUCCCUGAGACUUUAAGUCUCCUGAAGGAACGUUAAAGACGAUGACGUUGAUAGGCCGGGUGUGUAAGCGCAGCGAUGCGUUGAGCUAACCGGUACUAAUGAACCGUGAGGCUUAACCUU